rnacentral:rRNA from 1 species
CGUGGGUAACCUGCCCAAGAGACUGGGAUACCACCUGGAAACAGAUGCUAAUACCGGAUAACAACACUAGACGCAUGUCUAGAGUUUAAAAGAUGGUUCUGCUAUCACUCUUGGAUGGACCUGCGGUGCAUUAGCUAGUUGGUAAGGUAACGGCUUACCAAGGCAAUGAUGCAUAGCCGAGUUGAGAGACUGAUCGGCCACAUUGGGACUGAGACACGGCCCAAACUCCUACGGGAGGCAGCAG